rnacentral:tRNA from 1 species
GGAGAGGUGGCCGAGUGGUUGAAGGCGCACGCUUGGAAAGCGUGUAUACGGGUAACCGUAUCAAGGGUUCGAAUCCCUUUCUCUCCGCCA